rnacentral:lncRNA from 1 species
CCUAAGAGUUACCCGAAGCUCGGCAUCCGCGAUUGUCUAAGGGGCCUCCGAGACGUUCGGGCAGCGUCAGUCUUCAGCCGCCAAGCCGAGGAGAUCUGGGAAGGAGUCGGUGGGGAGCUUUGGGUUUGAGCUCCAGGAGCUCCGGAAGUGGCGAUGAGAGUCGGGCAGUCAGACUUCCAGUGAGGGCCCGCACAGGCGGGGCAUGGCUUAGGAGGAAUCCCAGGCUGCAGGCAUUCCUUGGCCCAGUGGCCAGGUUUUCAUCGCUUGAAGCAAAGUCCCAGAGGGGCUGUUGGAUGUUGCGUUUAGAUGCCUUGAAGUUCUUGCAGGUAGGCAGUGCAGCUGGGGUUUGUCUUAUGGCGGAGGCAAGCAUCUGUAGUUCUGAAAUGCGCUGUCGCCGGGCAGUCUCUUCCCUAUUAUUGAACACCUUGAAGGCGAGGUUGAUUAAUUCCUGUUGUGGGAUCUGAGAGCCAGACUCUAAUUUUUGAAGUUUCUUUCUACUGUCAGAAACUGACUGGGUAAUAAAAUGCAUGUUAAGAAUAAGGCGGCCUUCUAUCCCUUCAGGGUCUAGUGCUGUAUAUCGCCUGAGGGUGGCAGGUAGACAGGCCAUAAACUGAGCUGGAUUUUUAUCUUUGUUCUGAGUGGUUUUUUUUGUUUUUGUUUUUGUUUUUUAGUUUGUCAUAAUUGACGGCUUUAUAUGCAGCCUUCUGAAGCCCUUUAACUAGGCAAGAGAUCAUGUAGUCCCGCCUGGCUAUGCCUGGGUCCCAGGGCCUGGCUUCAAAAUGGUGAGAAGAUAAUGAGAAAAGGAAAGAAUCUAUGGAUAAGAAGUAAGGAGAAAAUCGUUGACAAUUGUCAAAAUCUUGCCUCAUUACUUCUCCAGGAAUGAUGUCUAUCCUUUUCUUCAAACACAUUCUGUAUUCUAGGAAUUCUGAAUUAUUUUGGAUUAGCCAAACUCACUAUAAACUCUACUAUAUAUGGAACUUAAAAGCUGCUAUGUGUUCAUCUUUAAACAUUUAAAGAAUGUAUUAGGUAGCAAUGCUCAGUGCUGAAGAUACAAACAUAAGCAAAAAACUCUACUCCAUAGCCUCUCUAUCCUUUCAUCACCUCUUGGGAGAGGGAUAGAUAAAUAUGACAUCAUAACAAAACACGUGUAAUGUAAAUGUAUUACAAAGAUUGUGUAAAUGAAGCAUUUAUGAAUAUUCUAUUAACUAUUCGAUUUCCCACUGUAGCUAGCACUUAUAAAGAAUUUGAUAAGUAACUA